rnacentral:rRNA from 1 species
CUCCGGUUGAUCCUGCCGGACCUGACUGCUAUCGGAUUGGUACUAAGCCAUGCGAGUCGUUGUAGCAAUACAAGGCGGACGGCUCAGUAACACGUAGUCAACCUAACCUAUGGACGUGGAUAACCUCGGGAAACUGAGAAUAAACCGCGAUAGAUCAUUAUGCCUGGAAUGGCUUAUGGUUCAAACAAUUUAUUGCCGUAGGAUGGGACUGCGGCCUAUCAGCUUGUUGGUGAGGUAAUGGCCCACCAAGGCUAUAACAGGUACGGGCUCUGAGAGGAGAAGCCCGGAGAUGGGUACUGAGACACGGACCCAGGCCCUAUGGGGCGCAGCAGGCGAGAAACCUUAGCAAUGUGCGAAAGCACGACUAGGUUAAUCCGAGUGAUUCCUGUUGAAGGAAUCUUUUGUCAGUCGUAAAACCACAGAUGAAUAAGGGGUGGGCAAGUCUGGUGUCAGCCGCCGCGGUAAUACCAGCACCUCGAGUGGUCAGGAGGUUUAUUGGGCCUAAAGCAUCCGUAGCCGGCUUUGCAAGUCUCCGGUUAAAUCCAGCUGCUCAACAGAUGGGCUGCCGGAGAUACUACACAGCUAGGGAGCGGGAGAGGCAGACGGUAUUCGGUGGGUAGGGGUAAAAUCCACUGAUCCAUCGAGGACCACCAGUGGCGAAGGCGGUCUGCCAGAACGCGUUCGACGGUGAGGGAUGAAAGCUGGGGGAGCAAACCGGAUUAGAUACCCGGGUAGUCCCAGCUGUAAACGAUGCAAACUCGGUGAUGCAUUGGCUUAUGGCCAAUGCAGUGCCGCAGGGAAGCCGUUAAGUUUGCCGCCUGGGAAGUACGGACGCAAGUCUGAAACUUAAAGGAAUUGGCGGGGGAGCA